rnacentral:rRNA from 1 species
UAGUCAUAUGCUUGUCUGAAAGAUUAAGCCAUGCAUGUCUAAGUAUAAACAAUUUUAUACUGUGAAACUGCGGACGGCUCAUUAAAUCAGUUAUAGUUUACUUGAUCAUAUUUCUUACUUGGAUAACCGUAGUAAUUCUAGAGCUAAUACAUGCAAAAAAUCUGGACCUCUUUUGAGGAAAGGAUGAAUUUAUUAGAUUAGAACCAGCGCAAGUUUUCGGACUUGAGUUAUGGUGAUUCAUAAUAACUAAUCGAAUCGCAGAGACUUUUAGUCGGCG